rfam:Loxodonta africana unplaced genomic scaffold scaffold_17, whole genome shotgun sequence.
GCCCUUGUGGCACAGUGGUUAAAGCACUUGGCUGCUAACCAAAAGGUUGGUGGUUCAAACCCACCAACUGCU